UGUAACAUAAGUGCGCAUGCGUCGGAUCUUAUGUGGGCCGAAUUCAGACGGGCAUGUGAGGCGACCAUUUUGCAAUGAAAAAUGAAACUCUGUUGUACAAAUUUAUUUUUCAUUUACUUUUCAAGAUACGUUAUCAUGGAUAUAUGUGACAUAAAUGCUUCUACAGCUGUAGACAUUACCGUGUUUUGGACGUUAAACUUAACGUGUUCAAUGAUACUUGGAGUAGGUUAAUAUUUAUCAAGAGCACUCCGUAAACGCUAUGUAACGAAUUAUUGGAUAAAGUCAAGGUCUAGAAGCUAUUUUUAUUCGUUGGUUUUCAAACAACGUUAGAAAACAUCUCAUGACAGUACCUGUUUCGAGAUUUAAAAGACAGUAGCGCACAAUGUGCGGAAUUCAGUAUACGAAUUGUGUCGCCAGAAUCUCGGCAGUCUGAUUUGUAUUAAAGUUAAUUUAUGGAAGUUAAAUAGAGUAUUUUAAAACAAUUGUGGAAACGUUUAAAAAAGAACAUAUUCGGACUUCUGAUGGUCCUGUUAUUGUUAGUUACAUAUAUUUUGGAAGCAUCCAUGGCACGAACUGUACCUCCGAGGAAUACACUGUGGAUGCUGUAUUUGUGCUUUUUUAUGGACUGUCUUUUGAUUUUAGCACAUCUAGGGAGUUCGGGGAUGAACUGUUUAAGUCAAGCGCACGCUGGAUUCAUGCAUACCGGUGUCAGAGGGACAUUCAAGUGGUGUUACUAUCGAAACCACUUUGGUCAUGCAUACGUUGGAUUUGGGAAUGGACAAUUUAAAAUCCGCACUUCUAUAUCACUUACACUACUGCACACAAACAGAGCUUCUACGCGCACAGAUAGAAACGAUGGCGGGGGAGGAUUACAUCGAACGGAUGGAAGAAGAUAUCAACAGACAAUUGACAAUGCCCUGCAGGACAACGAAGUCAUGAGACAUCGGAUCGUGUGCACGAUAUGUAAUACAAGAGACAGGCGUGUGGUGUUCAUUCCAUGCGGACAUUUUCUAACAUGUGAAUUGUGCGGACAAGAGACAGACACCUGUCCAGCAUGUAGACUGGACGUGAACUCGCGUGUCGUGGUGAACCAGUGACAUUUGACAAAAUCAUUUAAGAAGUAAAACGACUCAGUACUGAUAAUUUAUCGAAAUAAUGCACGACCAACAUAUAAAUUAAGCGCGGUUAUGUUAAAUAAUGAAAAUAAUGUUUGAGUCACUUUCAAAUGAAAUUAAAUAUAGUUAUAUUAUUUUUGCAUUACAAUUGUGAAAAGAUCUUUUGCGUUAAUAUGAUAUUUGGAGAAAAAAAGCAUCAAAGAAACGCUGCAAUCAAUGUAGUUCAACAAUUAUUUACUGGUUAGUGUGGGCUUAUUAAUAAGUUUCUGAAAGUGUCUGAAAUUUUUAAUGCUAAAGCAAUUGGUUUUAAAAACUGCAUAAUUAAUAAUUAUUAAUUAUGUCUAAUACGUUCAUGUAAGAAAUUUCCUGACUUAGCGGUCCAAACGAUGCACAAUUGCAACAAAAGCUGCAAACCCCUUUUUAUCAUUUCUUCUCCGUAAUCCAGCGCUACCAUGCGUUAAUUGUAUAGUUGUUUAUGAACAAAUACACAGCGCCAUACAUUCGACGGAAAAUAGAUGUGAUCAUAUUUGUUCCUGUGUCAGCAAUGUUAACAUCACGUUGGUUAAUAAAACAGUCAACAACUGUCGUCACUUAAUUCACUAGUAUUUUUAUGUGUGAUAUCAAUCCAACGUUAUUGUUGUAAGUUCUUUCGAAAGAUAUACGAGAGCAAUGCGGGGUAGACUACUGCUUACAAAGGUGCAGUUUACCUUUUGAACAACGAGCAGAUGUAUUAGUGUGUCAAACGUUUCUCAACGCAAGCGCGUCAAAUUUUGCAAUUCUUGAAACGUUAUAGCGUGGGGUGAAGCGAAACUUUUAAUGUAUAACAAUCUUGAAUCGGGCACUAUGAUCCAGAAUACUUAACAAAUUAUAUAUUGUAGAAUUUCCUAACUUGAAUACCUGUACUUAAUGUGUUCCAUGCCCAUAAAUAAUAGUUCAAACUCCCGUGUAUAUAAGUUCACUCUGUUUAUAUUGUCAAUGUUAACUGUGUCUUACACUUACGACGUGUAAGAUAUUGUACUUUGUAUACAUAGAAUGUUUAUGCUUUUUGUUAAUAAUUGUAAAUUGUGUCUGAUGUUUUGUUCAGCUCUUAAUGUAUUUGAAGGAAAUAAAGUUAUAUUAUUUA